rnacentral:ncRNA from 1 species
GUAAAUGCAUGGAACAGAAUAAGGUCAUCAAAAAGGGUGUGACUUCAGAGAGUCGUCGGUUGGUGUGAGACGAUGGGCAGUUUUGGUGAUUAUCCUCUGCGAGCAGUGUACUGAAUUCCCGGAUGGGAUAGUAGGUGGCACCGGUUUUCUACCGUUAAUAAGAGCCUUAUUUCUACGGAGUGGUCCGUAGUGAUGAGAGUGAGAGGUCGUUUGAAACGGCAAGUAAAGUGGUAACGCGGAAGUUUAAGCCUUCGUCUUUAGA